rnacentral:sRNA from 12 species
CCUUUGGAGAGCUAUAUCAAACAAAAGUAGAUUACUAUUUAUAGUAUUCAAAAUUGGGUUCAAUGAACAAGGAA